rnacentral:rRNA from 1 species
GCCUCUACAGGUGUUGCAUGGCUGUCGUCAGCUCGUGUCGUGAGAUGUUCGGUUAAGUCCGCUAACGAGCGCAACCCUCGCUGUGUGUUACAAGUGUCACACGGUACUGCCGAUAUUAAGUCGGAGGAAGGUGGGGAUGACGUCAAGUCAGCAUGACCUUUAUAUCCAGGGCUACACACACACUACAAUGGCCAGUACAAUGGGUUGCCAAGCCGCGAGGCGGAGCCAAUCCUAAAAAGCCAACCUCAGUUCGGAUUGCAGUCUGCAACUCGACUGCAUGAAGUUGGAAUCGCUAGUAAUCGCUGAUCAGCAGGCAGCGGUGAAUACGUUCCCGGGCCUU